rnacentral:rRNA from 1 species
UACGUAGGGGGCAAGCGUUGUCCGGAAUCAUUGGGCGUAAAGCGCGUGUAGGCGGCUGGGUAAGUCGGGUGUGAAAUCUCGGAGCUUAACUCCGAAACUGCAUUCGAUACUGCCGUGCUUGAGGACUGGAGAGGAGACUGGAAUUUACGGUGUAGCGGUGAAAUGCGUAGAUAUCGUAAGGAAGACCAGUGGCGAAGGCGGGUCUCUGGACAGUUCCUGACGCUGAGGCACGAAGGUCAGGGGAGCAAACGGG